rnacentral:rRNA from 1 species
AUUGAACGCUGGCGGCAUGCCUUACACAUGCAAGUCGAACGGCAGCACGGGGGCAACCCUGGUGGCGAGUGGCGAACGGGUGAGUAAUGCAUCGGAACGUGCCCCGUAGCGGGGGAUAACCAGUCGAAAGACUGGCUAAUACCGCAUACGCUCCACGGAGGAAAGCAGGGGAUCGCAAGACCUUGCACUAUGGGGAGCGGCCGAUGCCCGAUUAGCUAGGUUGGUGAGGUAAGGGCUCACCAAGGCGACGAUCGGUAGCUGGUUUGAGAGAACGACCAGCCACACUGGGACUGAGACACGGCCCAGACUCCUACGGGAGGCGAGCAGUGGGGAAUUUUGGACAAUGGGCGCAAGCCUGAUCCAGCCAUGCCGCGUGCGGGAUGAAGGCCU